rnacentral:rRNA from 1 species
UCAGACGAUGCGUCAUGCAUAUCAAUAAGCGGAGGAAAAGAAACUAACAAGGAUUCCCCUAGUAACGGCGAGUGAAGCGGGAAGGGCUUAAAUUUGAAAUCUUAAAGGGUUUCCCUUUACGAAUUGUAGUUUAAAGAAGUGUUUUCUGUUGAGGUUUUGGUAAAAGUUCUUUGGAAUAGGACAUCAUAGAGGGUGAGAAUCCCGUAUUUGACCUUUACUUUCAACUUUGUGAUACACUUUCAAAGAGUCGGAUUGUUUGGGAAUGCAGUCCAAAAUGGGUGGUAAAUUUCAUCUAAAGCUAAAUAUUGGCGAGGAGACCGAUAGCGAACAAGUACCGUGAGGGAAAGAUGAAAAGAACUUUGAAAAGAGAGUUAAACAGUACGUGAAAUUGUCAAAAGGGAAGCGUUUGACACCAGUGUUGUUUUUCUGAAAAUCAAUUAAAGAACUGUUUAUGCUAAGCUGUUUAGACUUUAUCAGCUAUCUGUCUAGUUUUGAGCUUUUCUUUAAUGCACUUUUCAGUUAACAAGUCAACAUCAAUUUCUUUUGCUGUAAAAAAGCUUGAGGAGGGUGGCUUGAGAUUCGUCUUAAGUGUUUAUAGCCUCUUGCCUAUGCAGUCGGAGAGAUUGAGGUCUGCAGCGUAGAUCCUUCGGGGCUAAAUGCAUUUGUGCUAAGUUAUAGCAUUUUAUAGACAACUUGUUGACUAUGAUUUGUCUUGUAGCUUACUCGCUUAUGUUAUUUUACCUACGCUUAGGAUGUUGAGCGCAUGUCUCUCUCU